rnacentral:tRNA from 1 species
GGGGCCUUAGCUCAGUUGGGAGAGCGCGUCGUUCGCAAUGACGAGGUCAGGGGUUCGACCCCCCUAGGCUCCACCA